GACGAACGCUGGCGGCGUGCUUAACACAUGCAAGUCGAACGGAAAGGCCCUGCUUUUGUGGGGUGCUCGAGUGGCGAACGGGUGAGUAACACGUGAGUAACCUGCCCUUGACUUUGGGAUAACUUCAGGAAACUGGGGCUAAUACCGGAUAGGAGCUCCUGCUGCAUGGUGGGGGUUGGAAAGUUUCGGCGGUUGGGGAUGGACUCGCGGCUUAUCAGCUUGUUGGUGGGGUAGUGGCUUACCAAGGCUUUGACGGGUAGCCGGCCUGAGAGGGUGACCGGCCACAUUGGGACUGAGAUACGGCACAGACUCCUACGGGAGGCAGCAGUGGGGAAUAUUGCACAAUGGGCGGAAGACUGAUGCAGCAACGCCGCGUGCGGGAUGACGGCCUUCGGGUUGUAAACCGCUUUCGCCUGUGACGAAGCGUGAGUGACGGUAAUGGGUAAAGAAGCACCGGCUAACUACGUG
rnacentral:rRNA from 1 species